rnacentral:snRNA from 1 species
GUACUUAUCUGGCAGGGAAAAUACCAUGAUCACCUUCCCAGGGCGAGGCUUAUCCAUUGCACUGUGGAUGUGCUGAGUCCUGUGAUUUCUUCAAAUGUGGGAAAUUCAACUGCAUAAUUUGUGGUAAUGAGGCACUGUGUUCAUCUUCUCCCCUUAA